AAACCCCCCAACGAAUGCAUUCAGACCACCGCCUAAACUAUUUCCCUCAACUAAAGGCGUGAAUCUAGAUCCCAACGGAUCUUUGCCUAAAAUAUCAUCCCCUUUUACCCUAGAGUUACGUGAUCUCCUCUGUGAUCUUUUCUCAACUAACAUCCAUCGUCCGAAAUCAUUGUUCUUUCCAUCUUCACCACCCCCGACCGUUACACCAGAAGCCAUCUCCGGCGAGGCUUUCAUUCCUUCAAAAAAGUCUUCGACCUCUCCAAAACCGCACCAACACCUGCCGCCGAACAUAACUCUUUAACGUGCCCAUAUCGUCCACAGUUGAAACAAACUGUCGGUAGAGAUUCAUACUCUACCCGUUAGAUGUCCCCGUCGACCAAAUCCUUAAAGAUAAGAGGUUGAUCAAGAUUGACAAACACAGCCAAUCGGGCAAACCUUCCUCGAGUACUUUUGUCAGUUUGAAAAUCUAAUUUGACUACUUUACCAAUUAAACCCCUAAUUGCUUCGAUGAUUUGCCUCUUGUAAAGGUAGCCCGGAAGCCCUAGCAGACGGAUCCAAGCCAACACCACACUGGGGUAAGGUUGUGUUGGAUUAAACGACCUCGUCCAAGGCUGCACAAUGAGGUAUUUCCCGAAAAAUAUCCACGAACCUUGAGUUAAAACUUUAUUUUAAUCUUCCAUGUCCUGAAACUUAACAAAAAAAUAACCAUUCGUGAUAUCCAUUAGAUGAAAGGAUUUUGUAGUGUUUCCAGAGGUUGAGUAUGCAAUUAUAAAGCACGUUAUAGCCAAUGUUUCGCCCGAGUAAUUUAAGAACAAUCGUUGAUUCCAUCUCCUUGGAGAGAAUAUCUUUGAUGCGCUCCGAAAAAGCGAUGGCCGGAAUCCCGUUAACCAUUGAGGUAUUCAUGUCACCAUCCAGAAUUUCUAAACCACCAUCGUCCCUUCCAAGAUUCCUUGCUAGAUUUCUAUCGGGGGAAGCCACCCCUCCUCCCAAAAGUUUCUCUUUGAAUGACAUCAUCGGCUGUUGCUCAGAAUCCACCACCAUACAAGUUUCUUCAGUACCUUCGACAUCUUUGAAACGUACUUUUUUGGUAUUCCGAUCACCGUCGUCAUAAGGAUUACUCAUUUUCUAGGAUUCAGAAUAAAGAAAAUUAUUUAAUACAUCGUCGGUUAGGAAAAUCCCCUUUAUUGUGGUUUGGUUGUGAUUUUAUAACAAGACUUUAAUUAUAGUGAAAUUUUUUAUGAACUUUCAAAGUCCCGUAAUUUUUACCCUUUACUUUAAAGGGGUUUUUCAUAUAAAAAUUGUGUGUUUCGAUUUAUUAUUUUUACUUAUGAUAUUAUGAUUUAUUUGGACCCAUUGUUAAUAUUUAUUGUAUUAUGAAAUUUUUUAUAAUUAUUAAAUUAAUGUUUUAAAAAGGAAAUAAUACCGAUUAUGCUUCCGUGAUUUUUCGUCGUGUUGGGAUUCGUCCCAAAUACUAAAUAAAAACUUGCCUACAAAUUUGUUAUUUUAUGUUUUUUUAAAUUUCACUUAUACCGUUCAAAUGAAUUAUCAACUAUAAAUGAUAAAAUGAAGACUACUACUUAUUCAAUUUAUAAAUAAAAAAUUGCAGGAGCCAUCGUGUAAGUAAACAUUGCAUGUGGUCAAGAUUAAUA
rnacentral:lncRNA from 1 species